CGCGCGGCAGUGGGCCGGCCCGGCCCCGGGGCCCUCCGUGCAGCCGGCCGCGGAGCCGGGGCAAGGCCCGGGGGUGGGGGGAAAGGGGGCCUCCUCCUCCUCCCCCUCCUCCUCCUCCCCCCCUGCAGCCGCGACCCCUGCGCCCGGUCCCCGGUGCCAGGGCGGGAGCAGGGGGUGCGGGUGGCCCCCCAAGCCCGCUCGCCCGCCCCCGCGGGGAAGCCCCGCCGCGCUGUCCGGACUGAGGGGCACGCGUGGGAGCCACGGUGCCGGCAGGCAGAAGAAGAAGAAGAAGAAGAAGAAGUUUCCACUCGUUUCACGAGGUGCAUAGUGCGGGCUGUGAUGCUAAGAACGACAACAACAGCGCAUGUCAUGGCUACAGCAAUACGUAGCUAGAUGCACGGCUCCGGGCUGUACUGGCACCAUCGCCGCGCUCCCGGGUUGCAGCUGGAGCCGGGGAGGAUGCCCGGAGCCCGGAGCCCGGAGCCGUCCUGCACCGCUCUCUCCCCCGGCUCCUGCAAGCAAUAAAACCCGAGUUUCUGGC